UCCUCACGACUUCGUGAAGUUUCCGUUUCUGCUGUUUUUUCAGUGGAGGUUUCUUCAUUACUAAAUGCAAGUGAAGACUCAGCAGGAACGGUCUGUAUUCUCCUCCUCAACUAUGCUUGACAAAUCACAGGGACUUUCAGUCUGUGCAACAGGGCUCCCUGGGCAGCACUGAGUGCUCUCAGUCUCUUCAGAAGAAGAAAGUCGCUGAGGGUCCGUGGGCUCCGGUGCACAGGGAAGAAACUGGCCAUCUGUCUCUGGGGCACUGGAAGGAUCCUGUGCUGUCAUCAUUAAGGGCAUAAGACUGUCCAUCUGCUUGAGGUUUGUUUUCUAGGAGGAAAUGAAAUACACUUUUAAAAAACUGCCUGUAGGAGAAGAUGUCACUGACACCUCUG
rnacentral:lncRNA from 1 species